GGCCUCAGCCGGCGCACCUGGCGGAGGAGGAACCUCGCGACGCGCUCUCGGGCAUCGGUUUCUCCCAGCAAAGCUUGGAGGGUUUAGCUGCGCGGAGAGCUCAGCGAGCUCUUCUGUGUCUGUUUGGGGCGUGUGGGCUCCGGGAGCGUGAGGACCGGGAAGCUAGGAGGCUCCUUCCCUUCUGGCGGCUCCCUCACUGAGACCGGGCGGUUUGGUUGCGGGGGAAGUGGAGACGAGCCACCCUUGACCUUUGACUGCAAGAACUCACCUUGAGCAGGAUAGAGGCACGUGGACGGUGACCCUCGGGAUGCAAUAAAUGCUGAGACAGAUCAGGUGUGCAAGGCACAGAGCUAGAGGCCAGAGGCCUUUCUUCUCCAACCUUCAGUCACCUCUUUUUAAAGUGAAGCCAGCAUCCUCCUCGGGGUUUACUGUGAAAAUUAAGUGAGCUGACGCGUGCUGUGUUUUGAUGUUGCUUGGCUCCUACAAACAUUGAGUGGGCCAGACACUGUUCUGAAAAAUACGCAGUCGACUUUUGAACAGCACAGGCUUGAACUGCAUGCGGCCACUAAUACUCGGACUUCCUUCUGCCUCUGCCAUCCCUAAGACAGCAAGACCCACCCCUCCUGCUCCUCAGCCUACUCGAUGUGAUGAUGCCUGGAAUGUAAUCAUGGAUAGCCAUGGAUGAUCAGCUUUCAUCAUGUGGGCAUGGAACAAGAUGGAAGGAAGCUGGGGCCCUGAGUGACCUGUGGAGCAGAGGCCUUUGCCCACCCUGGGCUGCCUGAUUUCCCCUGGACUAUCAUGAGACAGAAGAAAAAGCUUCUAUCUUAUUUGAACCACUGUGUUUUGGGAACCUUGGACUAGAGCAGCCUAGCCUUCAUACACUAACAAGGUGUAUGUGUCUGCUCUUUGUUGCUUUUGUAGAUGGUUGUGUUAUAAGCCUGAAUGCAGAAGUUGUUCCCCAGACUACUGGAUUUGCUGCCUUUUAAAACAGGUUUAUUGAACUAUAAUUGACAUACAAUGAACUGCAUAUAGGUAAAGUGUACAAUUUGAUAAGUACACUUUUUGAGCAAAUCCACCCUUUGUUCUGGAAGAAGACACUCUAUAGUCUCAGGCUGUUUCUUUACCAACAUCAACAAGCUAGUCUUAAACAGAGGAACCUCAGUGCCUCACUUUCAAGACAAUCAAGAUUAUUUCCCAACAUUCCACUAGUAGAGGGUCAGAAACAGAGUUAAAAGUUCUCAGACUAGAGGUAGAAUUGAAACCCCAGCUGAGAAGUAUCAAGGUGCCCUCCUUCCCCAAAGCUACAUAUUCUUGUGUCAGGAUCUUACCAGGAAAUGGAAGGCACAUUUACACAGGGCAGCCCAAGAGACUGUUUCAAAGGAAACCAGCAAGAUGUGACAAAGCACCCCAAGACUAGCGACACUGGGAGACCUUCUCACUUGACUUAAAAGGCUGGGGCAGGAGAGUUACAGGACCCAGUAUUAGCUGUAGCCAAAGCCUGGGCAGGGCCACCUAACAUGAGCUGCACCCUUCUGUAGAGCAGCACAGACCUUGUGCAUCUGAGGCCCAGCAGGAUGGGGCCUUGCUCAUCCUUCCCUUGCAGUUCUUGCUAAUGCUUCCUGUUGCCUGAACCCAGCUGGAAGCCAGAGGGCAAGGGAAAUCAAUUGAGACAGAUAAUGGAGGUAAUCCCCUGGGCACAGGGCAGCAUGGCAGAGGUAAGGAGUCUGUCUAGAGCCACAAAGGAAGAGGACUGAGUCCAGAGGUGAAAGCAGUCACGUAUCCCCAAAGACACCUGCUACACAUUUGGGCUUUGAUUUAUCAAUGAGAAGGCUUGAGGGACAGUGGGAAAAAUGAUGAGGAGUCAUUAGGUCCUUGUGGAAAUGGUGCCCUUGAAGGAUGAGCCUGUAAUCACUAGGUACACGUGGGUGGAUGAAUGCUGGUGAAACAGGUGGAGGGAAUGAAAGGACAGAGGCAGCACGAGAACACUGUAAGCAGAGCAGAAGUCCAUGCAAAAGCCAGAGAUGUGAGACAGCACGGGUACAUAUAGGGACCCGCAGGUGGUCUGGAGUGGCUUUGCUGUGGGUUGUGAUGAGAUAUCCACUGUGUUGGAGCUCUGGAACAAAAAGGAGGUCAUCUAAGCUGGUUGCUUCUGUUUUUUUCUUUUCUUUUUUUUCCGGAUGCAUUUCAAUUAGGUGAGGGGUACCAGGCAGAAACCCCUCCUGAAUAUAAACCCUCUGUCUUAUUGUACCAGUUAAAGAUGAACGAUGGCUCACUUCCUAUUGGGUACUAAGUUCAUUAUUUGGGUGACAGGAUCAAUAGAAGCCCAAACCUCAGCAUCAUGCAAUAUACCCAUGUGACAAACCUGUAUCCCCUAAAUCUAAAAUAAUAAUAAAAAAAGAUGUACCAUAGCUCUUAAUUGCUCUUCAAAUCACCCACACCAUUAGAGAAAGCUAUUUCCACCCCAAUCUGAAUUAAAGAAUUCUACAAUCUCCUACAGUCCGAAAGAGAGACUUCAGCUAAAGAGAAAGCUGGUGCUCCUCUUGCUAGCUGAGUGAAUUCUGAUCCUCUUUUUCAUUUUUAUUUUCUUGCUUGAACUCUGCUUUGUUAAAUCAAACACCAGCCCAAAACUGAGCCCAUGGAUCACCAUAUUGGCAGCCUUAUCCUAGAAUCUCAGGGCUGGAAAGAACUCCGAGUACAGCAUUCUCCAGUGUUGGGUGUCAACAGGAGCAGAGUUGGUCUCUUUCGAGAGCUUCCUGGAGAGUCUAUAAAAGCCUGGCUUUUGAACUCUUAUAUUUGGAGGCUGAGAUUCAGAAGGCCUGGGGUGGGGCUUGAGAAUAUAAAUUCUUUAAAAAAAUUUUUUUCUUUUCCUUAGAUAAAUCUUAGAAACCAAAGGGAAUUGAAUUCUUAAGAGGACUUGAAAAUGAUUCUAAUAUAGUCGGGUUAGGGGAAAUCUGGUCUUGAGCUUUUUCUUGGGAGAUGUGGUGAGUCCAAGGCAAGCCAGGCUUCAAUUCUGAAUCUACACUCUUCCCACACAUCUAUGUGGCCUCUGUGCCGAGUCUGAGUUUUAUGUUUUACAAAGAAAACUAGGAGAAAAACUGUUAUUCUUCUGAUUAACAGAAAAGUUGUCCAACUGGCUACACUUGAAUUAUAUCCCCUGAUUAUUAAACUCAGGCUUCUUUAGUUUUCAUUUAUUUUAUUUCAUUGCAUGGAGAUGUUUUAAAAGAGGAAGGCAAGGGGUGUGGGGGAAGGAUUCUGGGAUAGCGACCAUUCUCACCACAUGCAGAAGGCCAAUACUGCUUCCAGAAGGAGACACAAGGAAUCCUUCACUGAGUGAAAGUUUUUUUUCUUCCAGAGAAUAUCAGUAUUCCUACUUUAUAACAAGCCAGGAGCUUUUUCUGCUUCCUGAUUUAAAAAUUGAUUCCUGACUGCAUAGUUCUCACACAAUAGCUUCCUUCUUGCAGGGGCAGUGUGAUUGCCUGGAAUAUAAAUUCUUAGUGGGUUGACCAGGGAUCACGAGCAGUUAUUAUGUUCUCUGCUGC
ensembl:lncRNA STX18-AS1 STX18 antisense RNA 1 (head to head)